UACGUAGGGUGCAAGCGUUAAUCGGAAUUACUGGGCGUAAAGCGUGCGCAGGCGGUUUUGUAAGUCUGUCGUGAAAGCCCCGGGCUCAACCUGGGAAUUGCGAUGGAGACUGCAAGGCUUGAAUCUGGCAGAGGGGGGUAGAAUUCCACGUGUAGCAGUGAAAUGCGUAGAGAUGUGGAGGAACACCGAUGGCGAAGGCAGCCCCCUGGGUCAAGAUUUACGCUCAUGCACGAAAGCGUGGGGAGCAAACAGG
rnacentral:rRNA from 1 species